UCCCACCUCAGCCUCUCAAGUAACUAGAACUACAGCUUUUCUGGAACCACCUCCACGGACCUGGGUUACAAUCUGAGCCCUUCUGCUGGAAUCAUCCCAGUGCCUGCCUUCUGCUGUUUUCACAUCGAUCGCAGCAGGGUAUGUGUUUGUUCUAUUACCGAGUUUGAGAACAAACACAUAACACAAGCUGAACAAUAUCAGCCCAGAUGUCAUGAGAAGAAAAGACUGUGUGAGGGAAGAGCCCCGGAGGAUAAUAACGACGGACAAUAAUUCACAAAUCCGCCAAGUUCAAUUUCUCCUCAAAAUAAACAUGGAAAGACAAGGACGGAGAUCAGAAUCAGAACAGCCCCUGUGCCAAUUCUUCCUCGGUUCAGAAGAGCCACUUGCUGUACUGUCAACAGUGACUUUCAAAACCAAAAGCAGUCCCGUGGGGUAUCCUAGGCCUACUGAGUACAUGAGCUGGGAAAAUCCUCAUGUGUAAGGCUGAAAACUGAGGCCGUUUGUUAUACAAUUCUACAGGCUCAUGAGUGGAAAAUGUUGCAUUUUUCCAGUUUUCAUUAGUUAUUUAAGAAUCUAAGAGGUUCCAGGUUUAUAAAUGAAAUGAA